AUGACAGUGCCAUUAAUUAAGGCCCCAUCCCCAGGUGCCUCUCAUGUUCACAGCACUUUGAACCGGACUGUAACCCUCUGCUGCAGGCAGUGGUACAGCACAGCAGUGACCUUGUUAUUCCUUGUAUGACUCUGGUUCCUUGGCCAGAUAGUGAGGCUGGGGAUGAGGAAGAGAGAGAGAGAACAUAGCAGAAGGAGAAAGUGGGCAGUGGCUGGCAUCUGGCAGUAGAAGCAACAAGGCAGAAGCUGUGAUCAAUCAAAAACCACAAGAAAAGAGCAAGAAGCACAAGUUUUGAAUCAGAACGAAGAAGGUAAGUGAAAAAUUUAAUCAGCAGUAUCAGGUAAGAUGAAGGAAGAGAGAAAGGAUGG
rnacentral:lncRNA from 1 species